UGGGGGCACGUAAGGGUGUUGCAGGGCCUCUCCCCCCAUCCAGUCUAAAAGAACCGGGCCUUUGACUUUGCUCAUGUUAGGGCGAGGUUCUCCUCCUGUCCCUAACAUGGCUCAGGGGGCAUCCAAGGGCCGUUAUAUGGGCCUUUCCCCCGAUCCGAUCUUAAAAUAAUCGGACUUUCAUUUGGCUCAUGUUAGGAUGAGGUUCCCCUCCUGUUCCUAACAUGACCUUAUUUUAAUUGUUUGAAGGGGUCAUCCCCAAUCGUAACAAAUCUAUGCCAAAAGGGAAAGACAUGCAAAGUCGAAAGGAAUUUUGAUUCAAAGCAAAGUCAUGAGCAGCACAUUUACUGGUUUCUCGAGUUCCAUGGUCGUGGAAGGUCUGCUCCUCCUUGAGACCCUCCGGUGAUGCAGUCGAUGGUCCCGAUUGGAGGCCGAUCUCCGGGCUGCUCCUCCCUCCUUGGCGGGUUAGAUUGUGGCAGGACCCUUGGUCGAUCUUCUCUACCCUCAGGCCGACGUCGAAUGAACCUAUCGAGUCGAUCUCGCCGGAUGAGCUCCUCGAUCUCAUCUCGGAGCUGGAUGCAUUCCUCUGUGUCGUGGUCGUGAUCGCGAUGGUAGAGACAGAACUUGUUGGGGUUGCACUUCCCGGGGUGUGCACGCAUCC
rnacentral:lncRNA from 1 species